rnacentral:rRNA from 1 species
GAGGACCUUGCCCCCCUCUUUCAUCCAGGGACUUAGCAGAGUCGCUUUGGUGCCUUCGGGACUUGAGACCGGUUCUGCAUAACGUCGUCAGCUUCGGUGAAUGUUGGGUUAAUCCCGCCACGAGCGCACCCUUAUCCUUUGUUCCAGCGGUCCGGCCGGGAACUCAAGGAGACUGCCAGUGGGAACUGGAGGAAGGUGGGGAUGACGUCAAGUCAUCUGGCCCUUCACGAGUAGGGCUACACACGUGCUCAUCUCCCUAUACAAAGAGGGGGAAACUCGCGAGAGCAAG